AUCAAAAGAAGACAUUUCUCAA
rnacentral:snRNA from 1 species